rnacentral:lncRNA from 1 species
AACAAAAUUCCAAUCAUCUUCAAUAACAACAAUUCCCUUAUAUAUUGAACAUUUCUCUUUACAAUUCAAAUGAAAAUAAAAUGCAUAAAAGAAAAGAUUAAAAUGUCCUUAAGGUAUCCAAUGUGAAGCCAAUUUCAAAACAAUUACCGCGUGAACACCACAAUGGUAUGAUCACAAACCUUGACUAUCACCUAUCACUUAUUACCAAUAGCUCAAGAAUGGUUUGGAUUUGAUCUAAUCUUGGGAAGCAACAAUCUUACCACCACAUGAAAAAAUUCUCAUUCUCAUAUAGAUCCAAAAAAACAAUAUAAGAUUGGGCAUAGGACCAUAUGAAACAAAAGGGGAGAAUUCAGAACCAAAACAGGCUCGAAACUGGAUAGUUUCGGCCCUAGGGUUUGGUAUAGUUUCGGCCCUAGGGUUUGGUUGAAUGGUCCAAGCCACUAUGGGAUAAAAGUUGCUCCAUUUGGUGCAUGGAUCUAAGGGAGAGUUCACUGUUAUGUUUCAUAUAUUAGUCACAACAAUUUGCACAAAAUAACAUUAAAACUACACUAAUAAAAGUAAGAAAGGAAAUGCUAUUUUAUCACUAACACUUAAGCUUGAAGAGGAAACUAAUGAGUGACAUAUGCUUAUUGUUUUCAUGAAUUCCAACAGCCAAUCUUUGACAUAACAGUAGCCAUAACUGAGGGAGAAGUGUGUGAUGAGGUUGUAGACAUCAUACUUUCAUAAUGGGUGAAAGGUAUCUAAUAGAUCACUCUAUUUAUGAUAUGGAGAUAGAAGAGUAAAGAGAGUUAUGAGUAAUUCCAUCUUGGCUUGACGCAGCAGCAGUGAAGCUUUGACAUAACAAUAACCAUGACUCAAUAAGUGAUGAGUGAUGAGGCUUGGAGCAUUAUGCCUUCAUUAUGGGAUCAUAGGCUAGCAAAUAUCGAAGGCGUAUGCAACUCAAGUGAAGAUCAUUGAAGUGGGAGGAAGAAGAGUGCUUUGAGUGGGGCGUGAGGCCUUGAGGAGAAGAGAUGGGGCGUGAGGCCUUGAGGAGAAGAGAUGAGAU